CUUGAGUUGAAGCUGAAGCAGGCCGAGGUUGAGAAAAUAAAACAAAUUGACAAACAGGAUGAGUGAGCUGGCAGGACAAGACAAAUAUAAUGACAAUGUGUAAAUUUGUACACGUCGUCAAAAUAUGUGAUGAAGCAGGUAGAUGGGGUGGAAAACAAACAGGGGAUAUAUAGUAUAAAUGGAUAUUUGAUUGGGGUAGGCAGUGCUUUAAUUUUUUUUUUUUUAAGAAUCAUGGAAAGAGGGGGAAAAUCAAACAGAUUGUAAAAAGGCUGAUUUUCAGCCAAUUUAAUUGAUUGGGGAAAAGAUGGAUAAUACUAGCAUUGCUUGCCUCUGCGGCAAGGAAGAGCACCAGCAUUGGAAGUCAUGGCUCCAACCAUGGAAGAGGACUUG
rnacentral:lncRNA from 1 species